AAUCUCUCUGUACUAUGGACAGAGCGAGUUGUAACGGUAUGGAUAGGUUCUCUACCAUUUUCGAGUGAUCAAAGUCCUCCGGAUUGAGGCGCCAAAGAGGGUGACAGCCCCGUGUGAGAUUGCUUGGGAAUGGGCAUGUGACCGAUUCUGAGAGUCGGGUUGUUUGGGAAUGCAACCUAAAGUAGGUGGUAAACUCCACCCAAGGCUAAAUAUUGACACGAAACCGAUAGCGAACAAGUACUGUGAAGGAAAGUUGAAAAGAACUCUGAAAAGAGAGUUAAAAGUACGUGAAACCGCUAACGGGGAAGCGGAAGGCAGUGUCGAGAUCAAGUGAGUGAGUCAUAUUAAGCUUUUACGAAUGAUUUGAGUUUGGAGUGGCUAGCUUUGCUUGAUGCGCCAGGACUACUGCGAUGCGAUGCCGGGUGUUAACAUGGCUUUCACAAUAGCUGGUCAUAAGAUUGGUUAUGUGGUUGCGGAUAGCACUUUUGGUGUUGUGUGGUGGUAUUUAAGUGUGAGGCGUUAGUGAUUUUGUGAUCGGUUGGUGCAUUGGAGUCUAUUUUGGAUGGUUGCAUUGUAGCUGUGUAGAGUAGAUUGUAGUGUAGUUCAACAACUAGUGCCAGUUCCUGACGUGAUACCUAACUUUC
rnacentral:rRNA from 1 species